rnacentral:rRNA from 1 species
AGAGUUGAUCAUGGCUCAGGAUGAACGCUGGCGGCGUGCCUAACACAUGCAAGUCGAACGAAGCACUUCUGGUUGAGAUCGUCAAGAACUGGAUUUGACUUAGUGGCGGACGGGUGAGUAAUGUAUGAGCAACCUGCCUUUCAGAGGGGGACAACAGUUGGAAACGACUGCUAAUACCGCAUAAAGUAUUUUAAGGGCAUCCUUGAAAUACCAAAGGAGCAAUCCGCUGAAAGAUGGGCUCAUAUCUGAUUAGUUAGUUGGCAGGGUAACGGCCUACCAAGACUGCGAUCAGUAGCCGGACUGAGAGGUUGAACGGCCACAUUGGGACUGAGAUACGGCCCAGACUCCUACGGGAGGCAGCAGUGGGGAAUAUUGGGCAAUGGGCGAAAGCCUGAACCCCAGCAACGCCGCGUGAAGGAAGAAGGUCUUCGGAUUGUAAACUUCUUUUAUGAGGGACGAAGGACGUGACGGUACCUCAUGAAUAAGCCACGGCUAACUACGUGCCAGCAGCGGC